rnacentral:rRNA from 1 species
UACGUAGGGUGCAAGCGUUAAUCGGAAUUACUGGGCGUAAAGCGUGCGCAGGCGGUUUUGCAAGUCUGUUGUGAAAUCCCCGGGCUCAACCUGGGAAUGGCAAUGGAGACUGCAAGGCUAGAGUUUGGCAGAGGGGGGUAGAAUUCCACGUGUAGCAGUGAAAUGCGUAGAGAUGUGGAGGAACACCGAUGGCGAAGGCAGCCCCCUGGGUCAAAACUGACGCUCAUGCACGAAAGCGUGGGGAGCAAACAGG